rnacentral:misc_RNA from 1 species
UUUCCGUAGGUGAACCUGCGGAAGGAUCAUUAUCGUACAGAAUGUGAGGGGCAUGCGAGGGCUGUCGCUGACCUAAAAGUCGUGCACGCCCGAGUGUGUCCUCUUGCAUAAUAAUCCAUCUCACCCUUUGUGCAUCACCGCGUGGGCACCCUUCGGGAUCAUCUCGGAGGGGGGCUCGCGUUUUCACACAAACCCCCCUUUUAAAAGUGUAGAAUGACCACAUUUAUGCAAUCAAUACAACUUUCAACAACGGAUCUCUUGGCUCUCGCAUCGAUAAAGAACGCAGC